rnacentral:tRNA from 3 species
GCCAGCGUAGCUCAGUCGGUAGAGCGGCUCACUCGUAAUGAGCAGGUCACGGGUUCGAUUCCUGUCGCUGGCUCCA